CGGGAAGUAGUCGCUGCUCUGU
rnacentral:snRNA from 1 species